rnacentral:rRNA from 1 species
GACGAACGCUGGCGGCGUGCUUAACACAUGCAAGUCGUACGGUAAGGCCCUUUCGGGGGUACACGAGUGGCGAACGGGUGAGUAACACGUGAGUAACCUGCCCACAACUUUGGGAUAACGCUAGGAAACUGGUGCUAAUACUGGAUAUGUGCUCCUGCUGCAUGGUGGGGGUUGGAAAGCUCCGGCGGUUGUGGAUGGACUCGCGGCCUAUCAGCUUGUUGGUGGGGUAGUGGCCUACCAAGGCGGCGACGGGUAGCCGGCCUGAGAGGGUGACCGACCACAUUGGGACUGAGAUACGGCCCAGACUCCUACGGGAGGCAGCAGUGGGGAAUAUUGCACAAUGGGCGCAAGCCUGAUGCAGCAACGCCGCGUGCGGGAUGACGGCCUUCGGGUUGUAAACCGCUUUCAGCAGGGACGAAGCUUUUUGUGACGGUACCUGCAGAAGAAGCACCGGCUAACUACGUG